rnacentral:rRNA from 1 species
CAAACGGUUGAUGAUGUAGUAUAAUUCGAUGCAACGCGCAAAACAUUACCCACCUUCGACAUGUACGGAAUCCUUUAGAGAUAGAGGAGUGCUCGAAAGAGAGCCGUAACACAGGUGCUGCAAGGAUGUCGUCAGCUCGUGUCGUGAGAUGUUGGGUUAAGUCCCGCAACGAGCGCAACCCUUGUCAUUAGUUGGUACAUUCAGUUGGGCACUCUAAUGAGACUGCCGGUGACAAACCGGAGGAAGGUGGGGAUGACGUCAAGUCCUCAUGGCCCUUAUAGGUGGGGCUACACACGUCAUACAAUGGCUGGUACAGAGGGUUGCCAACCCGCGAGGGGGAGCCAAUCCCAUAAAGCCAGUCGUAGUCCGGAUCGCAGUCUGCAACUCGACUGCGUGAAGUCGGAAUCGCUAGUAAUCGCGGAUCAGAAUGUCGCGGUGAAUACGUUCCCGGGUCUUGUACACACCGCCCGUCACACCAUGGGAGCGGGUUCUGCCAGAAGUAGUUAGCCUAACCGCCAAGU